GAUGAACGCUGGCGGCGUGCCUAAUACAUGCAAGUCGAACGAAACUUCUUUAUCACCGAGUGCUUGCACUCACCGAUAAAGAGUUGAGUGUCGAACGGGUGAGUAACACGUGGGCAACCUGCCCAAAAGAGGGGGAUAACACUUGGAAACAGGUGCUAAUACCGCAUAACCAUAGUUACCGCAUGGUGACUAUGUAAAAGGUUGCUAUACUACCGCUUUUGGAUGGGCCCGCGGCGCAUUAGCUAGUUGGUAGGGUAAAGGCUUACCAAGGCAAUGAUGCGUAGCCGAAUUGAGAGGUUGAUCGGCCACAUUGGGACUGAGACGCGGCCCAAACUCCUACGGGAGGCAGCAGUAGGGAAUCUUCCACAAUGGGCGAAAGCCUGAUGGAGCAACGCCGCGUGGGUGAAGAAGGUCUUCGGAUCGUAAAACCCUGUUGUUAGAGAAGAAAGUGCGUGAGAGUAACUGUUCACGUUUCGACGGUAUCUAACCAGAAAGCCACUGCUAACUACGUG
rnacentral:rRNA from 1 species